GCAUGUGAAUUCCAAGCCCUUUUUAAUCUGUCACUCGUGUAUAAUAUGUCAAAGGGCUGGCGCCAAAAAUGCGGAUUACAUAUGAGUGAGUUGGACGACUUUUCCUGACAUAAGUAUGCCUUAAAUUACAUACUGUUCAUUUGGUUUUUAAAAUGUGGAGUUCUACUUUUUUGUGGUUGUCAAAUAUGUCUUGGAAAGCAGUAAAAUUUCUCAAUAAGGAUCAGAAGUUUUCUGCCGAACAAAGUCGACGCUACUCUUUUGGUGCUCCGUGUACUGCUAUUUGGAGAUCAGUGAGGUUUAUUUGUGUUUCAUUAAUCAUUAUUGCUUGAGGUUGAAUAAUAAUCAUCACAGAGAUAAUAAAUAUCCCGUGCCAGUCUGAUUUCUUUGCUUAAGAGUUGCCAAGAGGUGCAUGGACAUCGCAAACUGAAACCUGACGUCUGGGUACACCGUGCCUGGGGUGGAGGAGGUGGAAUCUACACGCUGUGAUUUCAGAGGCUCAUGGAGAUGAGGGAUGCUGUGAGGCUGUGGUGCCACUGUGGGUCCCGGACGACUGAGACUCUGACAGGCAAAUGGCCAAAGGCGUCUGGGAUGAGAACUGACCCAACAUCUGCAGCAUCAGAAAAGGCUGUCACCGCGGGCUUUCCUGAGGCCACAGGAUAUCAAGACAUCAGGACACAGAAGAAUAUGUCCAUUCAAGCGUCUCCACCCCAGUGAGCUGGGUAGGGGACUUCUCUAGAAUGUGCUGCAUGAAUGGUUACCUGGGUUCCAAGUUCUGUUGGGCUCUAUUGCCAGGCAAGUGAGGUCACUUCCUGGGGUCGCUUUACCCGGCUUCCUCCUCACACAAAUCUCCCCAAGGGCCCCUAUGGGCUGCUGACUUCUCAACCCUCACCCCAUGCCGUGUCCAUGCACAGUGACACAAGUGGGGAGUCCUGGGUUCAUCUUCCCAACACACAAGAAAAGAAUAGGCAUGGGCCCACGCCCAUCUUAUCCUUCUCCACCCGACCAGCCCCAUCAUGUCAGAAAAAUAUGUCCCUCCUCCUGUCAGAAGACAAACACCAGGUAAAAGACUUAGAUGUAAAGCAGACCAGAAUAUUGUUUUGAUCUAUAGACACUUAAAAAAAAUGGCAGAAAUGAAGCAAACAAAGCACCCAAACAACAGGUGCAAGAAGGGUGGGCUCACCCUUCCCCUUUUCCUUCCUGGAAGCAAGAGAUGACAUAUCCAUCACCCACUGCCCCCCGUGGAAGACGUCCUCCCUCUGCAGGAAGGAGAGUAACAUUGUUACUGUCAAGGGCAGAGAGUGAAGAAUGGGAGGAUUCUGUACUGACCUUGCUCCACAGCAUUCUCAUCCUCCUUUGCCCCCCUGCAUAGUGUAGUUCCUUUUCCACAUCUGCCUCUCUUUGUUCAACCCAACAGAAGAGCAUUUAGGCUUUGCCACUUCUCUGGGUCUCUCUUCAUUUCCUUAGGAGCGUUCCCCACGUCAUAUAAAACUUAGGGAAAAUAAAUGAGGAUGCU